rnacentral:lncRNA from 1 species
GGGGAAUUACGAGGGAAAGGAGAAGAGAGGGGAGGAAAGGAGAAGGGAGGGGAGGGAAGUGUGAAUGUCUCUUCCCAUUUUUGUUGGCAUAGGUCUGUGGUCCUUCUGUUGUGAACACUUUCCGCGUAGAGUGGCACUGUCAAGCGCAUGGUUUGGAAUUCACAUGCAUGUAGAAACUACAUAACAUAGACAAACGUGUUUUUGGUUUUCACUUU